rnacentral:rRNA from 1 species
GGAAUCGCUAGUAAUCGCGAAUCAGAAUGUCGCGGUGAAUACGUUCCCGGGUCUUGUACACACCGCCCGUCACACCAUGGAAGUCUGCAAUGCCCGAAGUCUGUGACCUAACCGCAAGGGAGGAGCAGCCGAAGGCAGGUCGGAUGACUGGGGUGAAGUCGUAACAAGGUACC